rnacentral:rRNA from 1 species
AUUGAACGCUGGCGGAAUGCUUUACACAUGCAAGUCGAACGGCAGCACGGACUUCGGUCUGGUGGCGAGUGGCGAACGGGUGAGUAAUACAUCGGAACGUGCCCAGUCGUGGGGGAUAACGUAGCGAAAGCUACGCUAAUACCGCAUACGAUCUACGGAUGAAAGCGGGGGAUCGCAAGACCUCGCGCGAUUGGAGCGGCCGAUGGCAGAUUAGGUAGUUGGUGGGGUACAGGCUCACCAAGCCGACGAUCUGUAGCUGGUCUGAGAGGACGACCAGCCACACUGGGACUGAGACACGGCCCAGACUCCUACGGGAGGCAGCAGUGGGGAAUUUUGGACAAUGGGCGCAAGCCUGAUCCAGCCAUUCCGCGUGCAGGAUGAAGGCCCUCGGGUUGUAAACUGCUUUUGUACGGAACGAAAAGGCUCUGGUUAAUACCUGGGGCUCAUGACGGUACCGUAAGAAUAAGCACCGGCUAACUACGUGCCAGCAGCCGCAGUAACAC